rnacentral:rRNA from 1 species
UACGAAGGUGGCAAGCGUUGUUCGGAAUUACUGGGCGUAAAGCGCACGUAGGCGGUUUUGUAAGUUAGAGGUGAAAGCCUGGGGCUCAACUCCAGAAUAGCCUUUAAGACUGCAUCACUUGAACACGGGAGAGGUGAGUGGAAUUCCGAGUGUAGAGGUGAAAUUCGUAGAUAUUCGGAAGAACACCAGUGGCGAAGGCGGCUCACUGGACCGUUGUUGACGCUGAGGUGCGAAAGCGUGGGGAGCAAACAGG